rnacentral:rRNA from 1 species
UACGGAAGGCAGCGAGUGGGGAAUAUUGCACAAUGGGCGAAAGCCUGAUGCAGCUAUGCCGCGUGUAUGAAGAAGGCCUUAGGGUUGUAAAGUACUUUCAUCGGGGAGGAAAAACAAAACUAAUAAUUUUAUUUCUUGACGUUACCCGAAAAAGAAGCACCGGCUAACUCCGUGCCAGCAGCCGCGGUAAUACGGAGGGUGCUAGCGUUAAUCAGAAUUACUGGGCGUAAAGAGCACGUAGGUGGUUUUUUUAAGUCAGAUGUGAAAUCCCUGGGCUUAACCUAGGAACUGCAUUUUGAAACUGAAAUACUAGAGUAUCGUAGAGGGAGGUAGAAUUCUAGGUGUAGCGGUGAAAUGCGUAGAUAUCUGGAGGAAUACCUGUGGCGAAAGCGGCCUCCUAAACGAAUACUGACACUGAGGUGCGAAAGCGUGGGGAGCAAACAGGGAUUAGAUACC